rfam:Fusarium verticillioides 7600 chromosome 8, whole genome shotgun sequence.
GGGCGAAUGGUUUAGUGGUAUAAUACUCCCUUAGCACGUUCUCUCCUUUGGAAGACAUACCUCUGGGAGUGGUCCAGGGUUCGAUUCCCUGUUCGUCCA